UACAGAGGCCCCAAGCGUUACUGAGAAUCACUGGGUUUAAAGGGUGCGUAGGUGGUCCGUUAAGUCUGUUGUGAAAGCCCUUGGCUCAACCAAGGAAUUGCUUCGGAUACUGGCGGACUUGAGGCUAGUAGAGGUCACUGGAACUGACGGUGGAGCGGUGAAAUGCGUAGAUAUGCGGAGGAACACCGAUGGCGAAGGCAAUCCCCUGGGCCUGCACUGACGCUCAUGCACGAAAGCGUGGGGAGCAAACAGG
rnacentral:rRNA from 1 species